UAUGUACUUCCUCCGUUCAGAAUUACUUGUCGUGAAAAUGGAUGUAUCUAGAUGUAUUUUAAUUCUAGAUACAUCCAUUUCUGAGACAAGUAAUUCCGAACGGAGAGAGUAUGUG
rnacentral:pre_miRNA from 1 species